AUUGAACGCUGGCGGCAGGCCUAACACAUGCAAGUCGAACGGUAGCACAGAGAGCUUGCUCUCGGGUGACGAGUGGCGGACGGGUGAGUAACGUCUGGGAAACUGCCCGAUGGAGGGGGAUAACUACUGGAAACGGUAGCUAAUACCGCAUAACGUCGCAAGACCAAAGUGGGGGACCUUCGGGCCUCACACCAUCGGAUGUGCCCAGAUGGGACUAGCUAGUAGGUGGGGUAAUGGCUCACCUAGGCGACGAUCCCUAGCUGGUCUGAGAGGAUGACCAGCCACACUGGAACUGGGACACGGUCCAGACUCCUACGGGAGGCAGCAGUGGGGAAUAUUGCACAAUGGGCGCAAGCCUGAUGCAGCCAUGCCGCGUGUAUGAAGAAGGCCUUCGGGUUGUAAAGUACUUUCAGCGGGGAGGAAGGCGGUGAAGUUAACAGCUUCACCGAUUGACGUUACCCGCAGAAGAAGCACCGGCUAACUCCGUGCCAGCAGCCGCAGUAA
rnacentral:rRNA from 1 species